rnacentral:lncRNA from 1 species
UUCAAAUCUAAUCACAAACACAAAAAAUACCUAAGCCCAUAAUAACUUAUGAACGGAAAAUGAUAGCUUAUUAACUGGACACUUAAACUUGUAUUCUCUUAUUAAUCUGCAGUGUCCAGCUGGAAUACAGUGAGGAUGCAGUUUCCACUCUCCCUGCCUGACACCCUUGACUCCCUGCCUUCAUUUUUGAAAGGAUCAGAGUUGGAAAAAUCACUCAUAUGUUACCAAGAAGGUAGAAGGUUGUGCCAUGGUGUCAAGGAGAUUCCUAGAUAAUAGAGCUCCUGGUGAAUGUAACGGAAAUCCCAACUAUUUGUGAUGAGUAUUAAAUUUAUAUGCAAAUAUUUAUUUAUGUGGAUGAAAAAUAAUUCACAGUUCUUUAAAUUUAAAAUGAAUGUUGUGAAUAAGUAAUUUUUAAAAUAUUUGGAAUCCAAGAAAGGUGAAAGAAACAAUUGUGGUAAAGGGAAACUGUGAUUAAAACCACACAGUUAGGGCUGGGGAUGUGGCUCAAGCGGUAGUGUGCUCGCCUGGCAUGCAUGCGGCCCGGGUUCGAUCCUCAGCACCACAUACAAACAAAGAUGUUGUGUUCACAAAAAAACUAAAAAGUAAAUAUUAAAAAAAUUAAAAAAAAAAACAGACAAUUGUCCUUGAUUUGGAGAAACAACUAAAGACGCUGCUCACAGAGGAGCAAUCACUCAGAGAGACACGGAGGUGUGUAAAGGCACACACAGGGUGGCAUGAAUUAGUGGAUGAAUGUGCACUAAUAUUGGGUGCAAAAAAGACGGGUGAGUACCUUGUGCAGACAGAGAUGUACAUAAACCUGGGGAGCUUGAAAAGCAGUGUGUUAGCACAAAAAAAGGGAAAUAAAUGUAAUUAAAAAUUAUACUGUUUCAUGCAGUGGAAAAAAGUCAUUUCUCUGGCUGUGGGAAUGGAAACCAGAGCUUCUGCCCAAGAGGCACCUGCUCCACCACUGACCAACAUCCCACAACAUGCUCAAGAUGAGCCCUGAGCCAGGGCCACACAGGAAUCCACAGCCUGAUUCUUCACUCACAGAAAGGCAGGGUGGUGGGGAGGAUAAGAGGCUAAUAGCUUAGCUGCUGGGUUAGGGCAAUAUUUUACACAAAAUAAUUGAAUGCAUGCAGACAAACAGUAAGAAGUUAAAAAAAAUGAUAACAAAGAUGUAUUGUCCAUUGUUCACACAAAGUAAUAUUGUUUCACUGGGUAAUGAAAACAUGCAUGCACCUUACAUAAUGUGAGCAUCACAGAAAGAAGGUCUAUGGAUGGAAGUGUUGAGUAGUUCCUGAAUUGUCCAUGAAGUGUAAGAGUGCUAAUGAGCUGACUUAUCUCUGUAAAAAUAGUGUCUUUUGUUUUUCUCUUUCAUGGUUUGUCUUGUUGAAGAGUGAUUUUGGCGGGGGGCGGGAACCAUAUUCUUUAACAGAUAAAAAUAAUGUUCAAUCACAUUCCAGGCCUCCUCUCCCACAGGAGCAGAGGGAAGAGGACAUGGGCUCCACAUGGUGCACACGGGGAUGGAGCCUCCCUUGCCUGGGUCCCCAUAUGAUUCUGUGGAGCACCCCUGCCUGGCCCAGGAGCACACAGCCUUAACAAUAUGCUGUGGUGCCAGCUGUGACAAGUACAGUGGUGACCUCCAUCCUGAUUACUAUGAAUGCACAAAAGACAACCUGAGUGACAGGUGUCUCACUCAGUUCCCAUAAUGAUGCUGUCUUAACAUGUAAAAAUGUAAAAUUAAAUUUAUGCUUGAAAUAUAGAUCAGUCUCUCCAGGGAUGAGGCUAUGGUGAGUGUAUAUCCCCCCAGUUCAUGUCACCCACUGGAGGUCAAGAAGUGGAACAUCCUAGCACAGAAUUCAGUGAGAGGAACCUACUUGAAUGUGAGCCACCUCUGUGUCCACAGGGUCCUGUGCCCUCUGCUCUCCACAAUGAUGCUCUACAGCUCCCACCUGACCAUCAAAUGGGGCAGACAUUCACACCCAGAGAGAAGUUCAGAACCCAACUGUUAUGGGAACAAGGGAAGAGGGCAGAGCAGAUGUGUCUAACGAGGUCAUGAACUGAGUUCAGGACGAGCUCAGGGCAAAACCAGGUGUCAAGUCAAACCAGGUAUCCUAUCCUGCUUCUCCAGUACAGAGUCCAGAUCCAAGAAACAGCAGGAUCAAAGACAUCCAACAUACACCUUUCCAAAUAUGCUGAACUUAUUUCAUGAGAUCCUUCAAGAUGGGACUUCUUUUGUCAUCUAAGGUCAGUGUGAAGUGAACAAAUACUUUCUUGUUCCCACUGCUGUCUCUUCGAACAGUUUGAACCUCAGCUUGUAAUUUUUUUUUUCUCAUCACAAGUAAUAAAAUGUGUG